rnacentral:snoRNA from 1 species
CCCCUCGCAGGGUCGCACCCGGAGAGUUUCCAGUAUUCUACCAGUCUCGGCUACAGGAGGGAGUGUCAAGCAGAGGCAUAUCCAUUCCAUUCCUAGCUUGACCAGUGACUAGCAAGUGGAAGGCAAUCUGCUACAAGU